AUUUGGGAGAUAACUAGGCCUAUAUGCUUUGCCAAGAGCUUGGGUAUUUUGGGAUAACUAGGCCUUAUGCUUUGCCAAGAGCUUGAGAGAUUGAGGGAGACUACAAUUGUUUCUUUCAUAAUUCAUUGCUUGAUUAUAUCAAUAGAGUCUACAGAUAUUUAUGUCCCUUCUACUUCACCUCUUUUGCUAAUAACCUAUUUGGGACUAAAUAAAUUGCAAAUACAAAGAUAACUAAAUUUAUAAAGAUAACUGGGCCGAACUAUCAGCCUGUCGGCCCAGGCAGCCCGUUGGCUGUCCAUGACAUCUCCCCGGCCCUUGGAGACCCAGCUCGUCCUCGAGCUGGAUAGUUGCCGCAGACCUAUUAGACGCGACCGAGGGUUAAGCCUUUUACAUCUCGGCUUACUAUUUUUAUUUGCGACUAAAAUAUGAAGAUAACUAUGUCCUCCUAGAUCCCAUGGGAAGAGCGCUUCCGCCGGCCUCAUUGGGGCGGAAGGGUGGAGCGUGAUCCAGCGCGCUCUCACGUUGGAUGCGUCUAGCACCACCGCAGGUCCUAGCAUGAGUGAGACGGCCAUAGCCAUUGAUGCCUGAUGCUGGCCGGUGCUGCGCGUGCACUGCACUGGAAGGGCCCACACUUGGACCUCCCCUUCAAUAGGAGCAGCAGGACGUAUGGGUGAGGCCGAGGGGAUGAACACGCAUGGCAGCGAGGAGCUGAGGAGCAUGCGCAUAUUCCGCACCACAUGUCGGGCAAGGAAACCUCGCCCUGCAGCUUGUAGUCGCACCGCUGCUUGCUCCUCCGAUGCUUUUGCUGCAUGAAGAGCCUGCGCUCGGCGGCGUGCCAGAAAUCCCCGUGCUGCUGCCUGGAGGCGUACAGCCGCUCGACGUUCACGGUCCUUCUUCUCCUUCGCGUUGAGCAACUCCUUGAUCCGAUCCAGCUGCGUGAAUAUAUCAGCAAAGAUGUGGGAAGUGUCGUUGGCAGCAGGGGACACAUGGUGGAGCAGGUCGGGGCACGGGGGCGAUGUGAAGCCCAGGUGCAGGAGCUUGGUGAAGCGACGCCACAUCGGGGUGCCCUCCUCCUGGACCUGGAGGAACCACGUAUGAGCGCCAUCGUCCAGAUGACAGGAAGCCAUCCAUACCUUUUCUUCCUCCAUGAUGCGCUCUCGACGGAAGUAUGUGUCGCAGCUGUUGAUGAAGAUGAGAGGGUCGGAAUUACCGUCGUAACGCGGAAAACCCAGCUUCUGGAACCGCGGCGGACGAUUGUUGAGGUGUUUCCCGGCAGCCGAGCUGUUGCUGGACGCCGAGCGCUCAGCGGACAGGGCCUUGAUGGCGGCGGAGUUGGCCUUCACGGAGGCCUGGAGGUCCUUCAAGGCGUCGGUGUUGGCCAUCAUGGCGGCUGUGAUGGUCGCGAGGGAAGCUUUGAGGUCGUUGGUGCAGGGGGAGGCGGAGGGCGGCCUGGUGGUUGUGUUGGCGGCUGCCGGUGUUGGAGUUGUGGCGGCGGGCGCCGAGGAGUCGCGGACGGCGCACAGGAACGACGCGGCGAUGGGGGCUUGCGGACGGCUGGUGGUGGGCAGCGGUAGUGGAUGGUGGUGGGGAUCGGCGGGAUGUGGUGUGGCAGCGGCGGUGGUGAUGGGGAUCGGGAUCUGAAUCGAUGUAUUUUUUUUUGGGAUGAAGAGGAUCGCUGGACUCUAGAUACCAAAUGUUAUGGGGAUGGAUAUUUGGGAGAUAACUAGGCCUUAUGCUUUGCCAAGAGCUUGGGUAUUUUGGGAUAACUAAGCCUUAUGCUUUGCCAAGAGUUUGAGAGAUUGAGGGAGACUAGAAUUGUUUUUUUCAUAAUUCAUUGCUUGAUUAUAUCAAUAGAGUCUACAGAUAUUUAUGUCCCUUCUACUUCACCUCUUUUGCUAAAUAACCUAUUUGGGACUAAAUAAAUUGCAAAUACAAAGAUAACUAAACUUAUAAAGAUAAU
rnacentral:lncRNA from 1 species